AUGGAGUCGGUAGGUCAUCACGUGACAAAGAUUUUGCCUUUUACCAAAUCUUUCAUGAUUUCCACCGAAUUGACUCCGUUACCCAAUCUUUGGAACCUCCUGAGUU
rnacentral:snRNA from 1 species